GCUGGGGAUAUACCUCAGUGGCAGAGUGCUUGCCCAGCAUGCAUGAGGCCCUGGGUUCCACCCCCAGCACAGGG
rnacentral:tRNA from 1 species